rnacentral:rRNA from 1 species
CCUACGGAGGCUGCAGUGGGGAAUAUUGGACAAUGGGCGAAAGCCUGAUCCAGCCAUGCCGCGUGUGUGAAGAAGGCCUUCGGGUUGUAAAGCACUUUCAGUGGGGAAGAAAGCCUUGGGGCUAAUACCCUCGAGGAAGGACAUCACCCACAGAAGAAGCACCGGCUAACUCCGUGCCAGCAGCCGCGGUAACACGGAGGGUGCGAGCGUUAAUCGGAAUUACUGGGCGUAAAGCGCGCGUAGGCGGUCUGAUAAGCCGGUUGUGAAAGCCCCGGGCUCAACCUGGGAACGGCAUCCGGAACUGUCAGGCUAGAGUGCAGGAGAGGAAGGUAGAAUUCCCGGUGUAGCGGUGAAAUGCGUAGAGAUCGGGAGGAAUACCAGUGGCGAAGGCGGCCUUCUGGACUGACACUGACGCUGAGGUGCGAAAGCGUGGGUAGCAAACAGGAUUAGAUACCCGAGUAGUC